GCCCGGGUGGCUCAGUCGGUUGAGCGUCCGACUUCGACUCAGGUCACGAUCUCGCGGUUUGUGGUGGGUUCAAGCCCCGCAUCGGGUU
rnacentral:tRNA from 1 species